rnacentral:rRNA from 1 species
GACGAACGCUGGCGGCGUGCUUAACACAUGCAAGUCGAACGGAAAGGCCCUGCUUUUGUGGGGUGCUCGAGUGGCGAACGGGUGAGUAACACGUGAGUAACCUGCCCUUGACUUUGGGAUAACUUCAGGAAACUGGGGCUAAUACCGGAUAGGAGCUCCUGCUGCAUGGUGGGGGUUGGAAAGUUUCGGCGGUUGGGGAUGGACUCGCGGCUUAUCAGCUUGUUGGUGGGGUAGUGGCUUACCAAGGCUUUGACGGGUAGCCGGCCUGAGAGGGUGACCGGCCACAUUGGGACUGAGAGACGGACCAGACUCCUAUGGGAGGCAGCAGUGGGGAAUAUUGCACAAUGGGCGGAAGCCUGAUGUGGCAACGCCGCGUGCGGAAUGACGGCCUUCGGGUUGUAAACCGCUUUCGCCUGUGACGAAGCGUGAGUGACGGUAAUGGGUAAAGAAGCACCGGCUAACUACGUG